UAGGGAAUAUUGGACAAUGGGGGCAACCCUGAUCCAGCCAUGCCGCGUGAGUGAAGAAGGCCCUCGGGUUGUAAAGCUCUUUUGUCCGGAAAGAAAAGCAUUCGGUGAAUACCCGGAUGUUCUGACGGUACCGGAAGAAUAAGCACCGGCUAACUUCGUGCCAGCAGCCGCGGUAAUACGAAGGGUGCAAGCGUUACUCGGAAUUACUGGGCGUAAAGCGUGCGUAGGUGGUUGUUUAAAUCUGAUGUGAAAGCCCUGGGCUCAACCUUGGAAUGGCAUUGGAAACUGGGCAGCUAGAGUGCGGCAGAGGGUAGUGGAAUUCCCGGUGUAGCAGUGAAAUGCGUAGAGAUCGGGAGGAACAUCUGUGGCGAAGGCGACUGCCUGGACCAGCACUGACACUGAGGCACGAAAGCGUGGGGAGCAAACA
rnacentral:rRNA from 1 species